rnacentral:tRNA from 1 species
CAUUAAGAAGUUGAAUUAACAUUAACCUUUUAAGUUAAAGAUGGAGAGUUUAAAUCUCUCCUGAAAGA